GCAAAAAGUAAAUAAUUACAGUGAACACUCUUAAAGUAGCUGCUACGUGCCAGCUACUGUUCUGGGUGUGUAUUUUAAUUAAUAUAAUACUCACAAUGGCCCCAAGGGAUAGGUGCUUUUAUUGUUUGCAUUGUUAAGAUACAGAAAUUGUAGCAUAGUGAAGGUAAGCAAUGUGCCUGUGACACACCACAUAUUUAGUAAUUGGUAAUGUCAGAAUUGGAACUGUCACUCUGGCUUCAGAGAUCCAUAAAAUGUGUUAUGUUGCACUCCACUUCUUCCAGUUGAAAGCAUUUUAAAUAACUUGAAGGACCUCGUUGAAAUCACAGGAGCUUGAUACGAGUUGGUUCAUUUCAGAGAGUAGCACAAAAACUGAUAAAUCCUUGCAUUAUUUAUUUUGAUUGAAGGUAUUUGAGAAUUCUAUGUGUUUGUAUGUGUGUCACCUGUGACAAAGGCACUAUAACUUUUGUUAUCUAAAUCGAUUGCAUUAUUUCUUUUAGCUUUGCCGUGCUGCUGAAAUGGGAUCCAAGUGGCCUCAGAGUCUCAUCUACAGGGAACAUUACCAAUCUCUUCAAGACAUAAUUACAGGCUUAUAUAUGCUUAAUUUAAUUAACAUGUUAAAGACUUCUGUGUAAAAACUGUGAUUUCCUGGCAACAUUCUGGAAGCAUGCAAGAGAGAAUUACAAUUGAUCUGGACUUUAGAGUUUCAUGUAUAGACUGCUAUCUGGAGGCACAGAGAGAAAAUCAUGUCUACAGCUUCGCCCUGUAGAGUGAAGUGAGCUUAUUUUAGGUAACCCAGACAAAUCAAAGUCUGUACAUUUUGCACCUCAAAUGCCAAGUGGGUUACCAUAAGCCCAUCACCCUCAAUACUCCCCACCACAUACUACUCUAUCUUUGACUUGUGAUCUAUUCUCAUCAGCAAACAAGAUGGGAGAAAAAUAAAAAUACAUGCAAGGCAAGAAAUGUUGUGUAUCUGCAGUUUUAAAGAUGCAGAGAACAAGCCGGGCAGCGGUGGUUCAUGCCUGUAAUCCCAGCACUUUGGGAGGCCAAGGUGGGUGGAUCACCUGAGGUAAGGAGUUUGAGACCAGCCUGGCCAACAUGGUGAAACCCCAUGUCUACUAACAAUACAAAAAUUAGCCGGGCGUGGUGGCAGACACCUGUAAUCCUAGCUAUUCGGGAGGCUGAGGCAAGAGAAUAGCUUGAACCCAGGAGGCGGAGGUUGCAGUGAGCCAAGAUCACACCACUGCACUCCAGCCUGGGCGACAGAGUGAGACUGUCUCAAAAAAAAAAAAAAAAAAAAAAAAGGCAGAAAACAACAGUGUUUGAUAUUAAUAAAUGUAAUGGAAAAUAUAUUUAAAUAUAAUAAAUCAUUUUUAUUUGUGGCAAAAUCUUACUAGAAGAAGGUGACAUUAGAGAUAAAGACUUGUGGAGAAUUCCGAAAAAUUUUCUUGUAAUUUUAUAGUACUGAUUCUUUAUAAUAUAUGCCUCUAUUAUAUAUGUGUCUCCAUAUGAUACAUAUGCUGUCAUUAAAUUUUGUGACUUUGGUUUGAGGAAGUUGCAGCUCUAGAUCUGAUAUUUUUGAUAGAAUAUGUGUUAGGUUGCAAAGAAAUUUAAGAGAGCAAUAUAAAGAGAAAUACAAGGGAGAUAUUCUACUGAAUAGAUUGACGAAGGAAUAGAUAGGAGAAAAAGGAAAGAGACUUCAGUAGAAUGGACUCAGAUGGCACUAUUUUACUGUCAAUAUUAUCAGAAAAACAGCAAGGAGAAGUACAAAAUUUAUUUUUUGAUAGUGAUGAGGAAGACAGUUUCCCA
ensembl:lncRNA